AUUGAACGCUGGCGGAAUGCUUUACACAUGCAAGUCGAACGGCAGCACGGACUUCGGUCUGGUGGCGAGUGGCGAACGGGUGAGUAAUGUAUCGGAACGUGCCCAGUCGUGGGGGAUAACGUAGUGAAAAUUACGCUAAUACCGCAUACGAUCUAUGGAUGAAAGCGGGGGAUCGCAAGACCUCGCGCGAUUGGAGCGGCCGAUAUCAGAUUAGGUAGUUGGUGGGGUAAAGGCCCACCAAGCCAACGAUCUGUAGCUGGUCUGAGAGGACGACCUGCCACACGGGAACUGAGACACGGUCCAGACUCCGACGGGAGGCAGCAGUGGGGAAUUGUGGACAAUGGGCGAAAGCCUGAUCCAGCCAUUCCGCGUGCAGGAUGAAGGCCCUCGGGUUGUAAACUGCUUUUGUACAGAACGAAAAGGUUUCUACUAAUACUAGGAGCUCAUGACGGUACUGUAAGAAUAAGCACCGGCUAACUACGUGCCAGCCGCCGCGGUAA
rnacentral:rRNA from 1 species